rnacentral:lncRNA from 1 species
UUUUCUUUCACUUUCCGUUUUCUGCUUUCCCUUUGGUCUUCUCUGUACCUCGCAAACUUUUUUUUCUUUCACUCUCCGUUUUCUGCUUUCGUUGUUGAGGAAUCUAUGUUUUGUCGCUGGCCGCCGUCGCCUCAAGUUGUUCUGAAAAUUUAGCUUCCUCAAAGAUAUAAAACGGUGUGAGUUUUUUCAAAUUUUUACUUUUCCUGCUGUUAUGGGUUUUUGUGACGGAUUGAAUAAGACAGAGUUUGGCUUAUGUGCAGUCUUAGUGUCUGCAAUUUUGUUGUUGCCAUUUCUUUUUUGUGGUCGUUAGCUUCGUGAUUUCAUUGUUGUAGCUAUUGCUAUUAGUGAUGGUGGCCGAGUUGUACGUUUCUUGAUGGUAAAGUCUCCAUGUCUUCCUUUCAGACCAUGGGUGAAUAAAUUGUGGAUCGUUUAUAGUUUUUGUCAUUUUUUUCUUUUCGUAGUUUUGUGGGAGUUUAUGAUCUGUCGUUGAAAUUCCUUUUUGAUAGGCUAAAUGGAAAGCGUGCGCCCAACUCCUGUUAAUCAAUUAAGA